rnacentral:rRNA from 1 species
AACGAACGCUGGCGGCAGGCCUAACACAUGCAAGUCGAGCGCCCAGCAAUGGGAGCGGCAGACGGGUGAGUAACGCGUGGGAACCUUCCCGAUAGUACGGAAUAGCUCAGGGAAACUUGAGGUAAUACCGUAUACGCCCGCAAGGGGAAAGAUUCAUCGCUAUCGGAUGGGCCCGCGUAGGAUUAGCUAGUUGGUGAGGUAAUGGCUCACCAAGGCGACGAUCCUUAGCUGGUGAGAGAAUGACCAGCCACACUGGGACUGAGACACGGCCCAGACUCCUACGGGAGGCAGCAGUGGGGAAUCUUGGACAAUGGGCGCAAGCCUGAUCCAGCCAUGCCGCGUGAGUGACGAAGGUCUUCGGAUUGUAAAGCUCUUUUGCCAGGGACGAUAAUGACGGUACCUGGAGAAUAAGCCCCGGCUAACUUCGUGCCAGCAGCCGCAGUAAG